rnacentral:lncRNA from 1 species
AUCUUCACACAACCCAUGUAAUAUAAUAAGGGAAAGAGAUACAUAGUUUGCUUACAAUCGCCACUUCACCCAAUUACAUGAAUAAAGCAUUACAUCAAUCAGAUGCAAUCAAGGCCCGACUACGGAGCCAAAAUAAAAGAAGAACCCCAAAUGCGACAAAAGGUCCCCGAUCGACCUCAACUGGGCUCCACUACUGAUCAACUGGAAACGGAACAACACAAAGGACAAGAUCUUCAGUGAGCUCCUCCUGAGCUUGGUUGCGUCAUCUGCACAGACUCAUCGGCACCUGCAAGCUGGUUUUGGAAGUAUCUGUGAGCCACGGGGACUCAGCAAUCUCGCACCCUCGCGAUCAAGACUAUUUAAGCUUAUGGGAAAGGUAGAGGUAUGAGGUGGAGCUGCAGCAAGCGACUAGCAUAUAUGGUGGCUAACAUACGCAAAUGAGAGCGAGGAGAGAGAGAAAAAGCACGGUCGAACAACUAUGAUCAAGAAGUGAUCCUAGAACAACCUACGUCAAGCAUUACUCCAACACCGUGUUCACUUCCCGGACUCCGCCGAGAAGAGACCAUCACGGUAACACACGCGGUUGAUGUAUUUUAAUUAAGGUCAACUUCAGGUUGUCUACAACCGGACAUUAACAAAUUCCCCUCUGCCCAUAACCGCGGGCACGGCUUUCGAAAGUUCAAAUCCCUGUAGGGGUGUCCCAACUUAGCCCAUCACAAGCUCUCACGGUCAACGAAGGAAUAGACCUCCUCCCGAGACAUUCCGAUCAGACUCGGUAUCCCGGUACUACAAGACAUCCUCGACAAUGGUAAAACAAGUCCAGCAAGACCACCUGAUGCGCCGACAUCCCGAUAGGAGCUGCACAUAUCUCGUUCUCAGGGCAACAUCGGAUAAGCAAUCCGUACAACUAAAACCAGCCCUCGAGUUUCCCCGAGGUGGCGCUACAAGGGGCUCUAGUUUGGACCAACACUUAGACAAGCACUGGCCCGGGGGGGUUUAAAAUAAGAUGACCCUUGGGAUGCGCGACUCCCAAGGGAAAAAGGCUAGGUGGCGAAUGGUAAAACCAAGGUUGGGCCUUGCUGGAGGAGUUUUAUUCAAAGCGAACUAUCAAGGGGUUCCCAUUAUAACCCAACCGCGUGAGGAACGCAAAAUCCGGGAACAUAACACCGAUAUGACGGAAACUAGGGCGGCAAGAGUGGAACAAAACACCAGGCAUACGGCCGAGCCUUCCACCCUUUACCAGGUAUAUAGAUGCAUUAAUUAAAUAAGAUAUAUAGUGAUAUCCCAACAAAUAAACAUGUUCCAACAGGGAACAACAUCUCCGUGUUCCACCAAGGAACAAACUUCAAUCUUCACCUGCAACUAACAAUGUUAUAAGAGGGGCUGAGCAAGUGGUAACAUAGCCAAGCAACGGUUUGCUAGGACAAGGUGGGUUAGAGGUUUGGUUCAACAAUAUGGGUGGCAUGAUAAGCAAGUGGUAGGUAUCGCAGCAUAGGCAUAGCAAAAGAGCGAGCAUCUAGCAAGCAAAGAUAGAAGUGAUUUCGAGGGUAUGAUCAUCUUGCCUGAAAUCCCAUAAGGAAGAAGAACGAGUCCAUGAAGAAGAUAAAUGGACGUAGACGAACGGAUCCUCACAACACGACGUUAACGAAACCAACCCUGAAGAAGCAACACCAGAAAGAAGCAAACAAUCAUGGUGAAGAAACAUCACAUAAUCAUGGCACGAUGCACAAUCAAAUAUGAUGCAUGUCCGGUUUAAUGAUAAAUGACAUGGCAAAAAUGCACAAGCAAUACUACAAAUUAAGUGGAGCUCAAUAUGCCACGGAGUUGCAUAUUGACGAAACACCACGAUAAGUUAUUUAGUUCGAUCCCGUUUAUGUAUCCAACAAUAUUAAAUGUUUGUUAAACAUGGCAAGAGGGUGAAGCAAAAUAAACUACCUAUCUAGUCAAGUUUAAAUGAGGCCGGAAGCAACAAAACAACAAGUCCGGAAACUCCUCAUAUGCAUCUAUUAGGUUUGGUACUGUUCUGCCCUAAACACAAUUUUAGAGUUGUUAAACAUGCAAAGUGAGUACACCAUGUUAAACUAGGAAAAAUUCUACCCCAUUACAUUUAAAGUUUAUUAGAAAUCGAGCUACGGUUAUUUAGUUAUGAAAUAAAUCAUUUUAACAUGGCAUAGGAGCAAAUUAAUGCAAACAACAUUUUUAACAUUUCAAACAUAAAUGAAAGUUCGAUAUUAUUAAUCUACACAAAAUUCUGAGCAAGUUUCAUAUAUUAAGUUUUUACAUGUGAUGCAUCGCUUGUGAGAUAUUAUAAGCAUGUUGCUUGGGGGGUUUUCUGCAAUUCUGUAAAUCACUGGAUAAUAGAUAAAUUCAUAGACGCUAAAAAAACAUGAUAUGGGCCGAAUCUGGUUGGCCCGACAGGAGCACUGGGUGCGGCUUGGGGGUCUCUCACCAUGGGCCAAGCCCAGAACCGUGGAGAGGGCGCUGGGGCAGGCCGGCUGGGCCUUGCGGGCUGCUGCGGGACUUGGCACUCCCGAGGCCACGCGGAAGCGACGCGCUGCGGGCGCGGUCAACGCGCCUGACCAGAUCGAGCCAUGCUCGAUGCAGGGGAAGCAGAGGGCGGAGGCAGGGGGUCUCGGCGCGGGGAAGGAGGCAGACAGCGGACGCGGCAGGAGGUGGGGCCCACGGGCUGACGACGUCACAGACGCGAGCGGAGGAGCUCAUUGCCCACGGCCAUGGCUGCUCUCCUGUGCAACAAAACGACGACAGGACGGGGGAAAUCAAUAGUGACGCGAGGGAAAAAGGCAGGCAGAAACGAUGGAGGAACUCGCCCACAGCUCCGGUCAGCUCAAGGAUCUCCGGCGAUGAAGAGGGCGUUCCAUGACGGAGCUUCAUUCGGUUCCCUGGGAGCAAGAGAGAGAGAGAGAGAGAGAGAGAGAGAGAGAGAGAGAGAUUAGAGAGGGAGAGAAGCAGGGGGAUAAAGAAGAGAAGGCAGGGCGUGAAGGGGCCGGCCUGGAGGAGCUUGGAGCUGCUGACGGCGAGCUGGCGGCACGGUGGUCGGGGCCGGGCGGCGCUUCUCUCGAUCCACCCUGGAUCGAGGCACAGGAGGAGGAGAGGAGACGCGGAUGGAUCGAUCUAGCUGGAUUUUUGGAUCGGACAUCUGGCUGUGGUAGGUGGGGAACGAGGGGAUUUUCUGAUUGGGGAUUUGGUGGUGCGAGGUGGCGGCUGCACAGGAAUGGAGGGCUAGUGCUAGGUUUAGUCCAAAAUAGGCAUGAGGUUGGACUAUAUAUAUAUGGAAAGAGGGGAGUGGGUCGGGUGGCGGCGGAUGGGAAGGAUGGAUGGGACAUCUCCCCUAGAAACUAAGGUUAGGUUGUUUAUAUAGCAAGGAUUUUGGUAAGGGGCUAAAAGGACCCUCCGAUCGCAAUCGGACGAUCGCGAAUAAAAUAGCUAGGAAGUCCAAAUGAGAAAACAGUGACGUUUUGUAGAUGUUUGGGGAUGAUCCGGACACAACGGUGGCGACACCUCGGGUCGGGUCCGGGACAACUUUCGGACGCUCACGUGAGGGGUUCGAUGCACUGUGCAGAGAGGGUUUCAGACCGUGCGGUCGCAUCAGACAACUCUGGAAGCGAAGAGGGGAAGGAGGAUGGACUAGGUGGGCUGUGGCGAGACUGCGAGGGGGAGAAGAGAGAGAGAGGGCCCGGCAUCUGUUUCUGGAGACCGAAAACGUCCGACGUAAAUACCGGCUAUAAUGCCGCUAUAGUUUAACGGUUAGGCUAUCAAACGAACUCCGAACGCGAUGAAACUUGGCAGGCGGUCUACCUACACUAUAAUAAGACCGCACGCCUACUCUCAUCCCAUUCCGAGAACAUUUUCCGGCCACUUAUAAAAUACUAUUUCGGACAUGCCGCGGGCGCGUGCAAGUGUGUCUGGGCUCAGAAUGGACAACGGAGAGAACGAGGGGGCCGGGACAGAUGCAAAUUUUGAAAACAUGAUGAUGCAAUGCAUAUGAUGACAUGGCAAGAUGCAACACGCAAGCGAAUGACAAGGCAACAACAACGAAUAACUGGGGAACACCUGGCACAUCGGUCUCGGGGCGUUACAACACUCCACCACUACGAGAGGAUCUCGUCCCGAGAUCUAGAAUGGCAUCGGAGGGAAAACGAAAGAGAAAGAGAAGCGGUAAAACUAAGUUGCUUCUUUGACAAAUGAGUGAAACCAAAGAACCUUGCGAGGUUGAACAAAUUCGAGAAAAGAAUACAACGAAGGUGAACUAGGUCGAAAACACUCCGUUAGAAAAGAGGGACAAAGAGCAUUGCGAAAACCCUUGAGGUUGAAGGGCAAGAUAUUUAUUGAAAACACUCCGGUUAAAGAAGGGGAUCAAGUAAGACCAAAAUUCGGGCAGCACUCCGGUUGAAAUGAAAAUAAUUUAAUAAGAACUUGAUAAGGAGAUAGAACUUGAAAAGAGGGCACGACACUCCGGUUAAAUGAAUAAGCAAGAAAGGAACAAGGUCCUGACAAAAACAAAAGGAAAGGUUGAAGAUAGCAACAUCACAAUGACUCCGGAACAAAAGAAUAGAAGAUGGAUAAUUGAAAUAGGAGAAUUAAGGAGAAAAUGCCAACUUCUGCCACAAAAGAGCUUGAAAGGCAUCUUUAGGAGAAGGGUCGAACGGAAUUGUUUAAAAAAAACAACAACGAAAAGAGUGAUUUUGAUAUGGUCUUAUGGAAUACAACUCAAACAUUAUGAGGUGACCACCUGCCACUCACGGGAAGAAGAAUUGGAUUGGCAUGAACAAGGAGACGAGAAGCUUAUCACCGGAAGGAUAUAUGAAGAACUUGGAUCAUAUAUAAGCACCAUAAUAACAACCAUCCUUAGGGAAGGCUUAAGGUGAAAUAUAACCCUAGAUAACUCCAAUGACGAGAUUGAUGGAUUUGAAAUAUCUCAUUCAUGACAACAUGUGAAUCAAGAAACAUGGAUUCAAAUUAUCAAGAAUGACAAAAUACCAUCUCCAAUGAUACGGUAGAAAGAAAAUGCACUUCGGAAUGCAAGAUGAAGAAUGCUUGAGCUCCUUAGAAAAGAAUCUCAAUGAACUCUUGGAGAGGGGAUAUAAAUCCUUGAUGAACCAUCAAGUAUAGCCUCCAUGAAGAAACUCCGGUAACAAAAGAAUAAAAAGAAAGAGAAAUUGAAAACACAAGGUGAACCAUUGUAAUGGUUUAGAAGGAGCUUCGUGACGAGAUAAUGCAGAAAAGGUAGGAACUCCGGAAAAGAAAGAGCAAAUGGACCCGAGAAUUUGAUGAGCCUCCGGAAUACGGAAUUAAUCACUUGGAUGGAACAAGAAUAAGAAUUACAUUAAGCGUAUCCUUCACCAAUUCAAAUUGAUGGCAACCAAUGGAAUUGGCAUACUACUUAUUCUCAUAGAAAGGAUUAAGAUAGAUAAUGUGCAAACUUGAAGAGGCCUUCGAUGAUCCACUGGUAGGAUUUGAAAGAACGGAAGUAUGAUAAUGUAAGAAGAGGAAUCUUGAACAAACCACCGUAAGAAUUGAAAAUGAAUUAAGAGAAGAUAAAGGAACACCGGGAAGAAUUAGCAAAUGAACAAAGAUGCUUGAGAUAAUUUAGACCCAUGAGAACGAAGAGAUGACGAGCUGAUAAGAGAAUACUUGAACGAUGCACCGGCAAGAUUGGAGAAUGGCAACUGAAAGCUGAGAAUGAAUAAACAUGAAUUGAUGGACUCCGGAUGAUCAAACUGAGACGACUCUUGAAUUACUCCGGAUAGGUGAAAAGAAUUCUCGCGAUCAAAACAAUUACGAGAGGAUGGCAACAAGCUAGAAUCACGAAUCUUGAAGAGAAUGGAGCAAGAUUAAAGAGAAACUCUUCUUCGGUCUUCAAAAAUCUGAGAAUUACAACGGGAAACACCACCAAGAAUUGUUGAGGCACUCCGGGAUGAAGAAUGGAAAGGUUGAGCCAACGAUGAAAAGAAUUUGAAAGAUCUUGGAGAAAUACAUUUGACUGAUGAUAAUUCAUUCUUACGUCAAACUCUGAAAAGAAUUUGAGAAUAACUCCGGGAAAAUAAGAAGAGUCAGGUAAGAUCCUGGGAAAAGACCUGUGGGUUAAGGCCCACUGAAAAGAAACACCGUUGAACGAUUUAAGAGAGAAAACACCGGUUGAAUUAAAUGGCUUGAAUGAGAUAACAACCUCGAAAGAUCUUGAAUGAAUGCAGAGUGGAAAACACGAAUCUUCUGAGAUAUCUUGAGCACUCCGGAACAAUUAAAUGGUGAGAAGUGAAUGAAUAUGAGGUGCACCGGCAUGAGAAGAUAUUUGAAACAAGGAAAAAGAUAUGAUCAACACCGAAAGCUUGAAUUGGUUCCACCGGAGAAGAAAAGAAUGAAGAAUGACGAACUAGUAGAACAUCUCCUUGAGAACCACCGGGUAAGAAUAUUGACGAAAAAGAAUGGAGUGACUUCACAUGAAUUGAAUGGAUACCCGAUGAAGAAAUCUGGGUCCUCGAAGAAACAAAAAGGGAGGGAGGGUGGGAAAAAGAAAAACAACUUGGAGAUGGAUGAAACGAAUGCCGUUGAGAGAGCUGAUACUUGAUCUUGCAGAUGUUGAAAUGAUCGGAUCCACUUGAAGAGAAACACACCGGUUGAAAAGAAUUGACAUGACAAACUUGAUGAUCGAGAAGGACUAGUAUUCUCAUAGGAAUAUGAGAACACCAUUUAGGAAAAAGUAUGGAAUCAACAUUUGACUUCGAAGCAACUCGAAUACCACAACUCAAAAACAAAAACAAAGGAUUGGCGUGCGGAAUAAGCCAGAACAAACAUAUGAUAGAGAUUUCGUCCGAAGUUUUUGUGGUGCGGCCUACACGGGCUCGAUCGUACAGCACCAUCAUGUACAAGGCAGUGCACAUGACAUACGAAGCGUCCCCGAGUCGGCAUAGCCAAGGACUCUUUAAGCACAACGAGACCACUGUAAAAUUGACCGUGAAUAGGCGGACCACUAGACGUCGAACCCCAAUUUCAUAUCAUACGUCUGUCAGAAAGAUAUCCUAAGAGCUACUUGAAUUCCCACCUAUGAAACUCCCGAAAUUUUCCGGUUAUGCAAUCAGCUGUUGGGGAUACAGGGGAAGCAUAAUAUCUCACCCAAAUCUAGCAAAUCUUACAUCCAGUUGUAUCCAUCCUUCAACACAUAACCAAGAAACCUUCGGAAAUCAUCUACCUCAACCUUCGAAAAGCAUCCGUUAUACAAGUUAUGGCGAUACUCCCGAACUCCCGCCCCAGUACUGGGUGGCGUCGAGGUUAUCUCACCAACGAACUGCAUAAAAGAGAUUUUUGAUGUCGGCGAACUAAACUCAGGUAUUCCAGAAUUGCAACGAUAAAAUUAUGACGACAACACCUCAGAGCUCAACUCCCCGGGACACUUCCACUAAACCCCUGACAGGAGGCACCAAGACAAUGUUCUCAUCAUAAAACCAUCGGAACAAUUCCAAGAUACCCGUGUGAUCCUAAAAAAAUUUAGUGAAAUUUGAGAAGAGAAGAGUCAAAACUCUACGUCAGGAUGCCUUACCAAAGCGAUGAGGAGACUGGGAAGUAAAAAGAAUUCCUAAACUCUCCGAUAUAUAAUUCCUAAAUGACUCAAAACAUUUUUCUAGACACAACUCGGCCGCUAAAAACGAUCAAGCAAUGGGGCUCCUAAGGUCGGGGAAGGCUCUGAUACCAACUUGUAACACCCUCGAUGCGACUAUAUCUCCCACGUGUCGAGGCACGACUUAGAGGCAUAAUCGCAUUGAAGGCAUAUGUCGCAAGUGAGGUAAUCUUCACACAACCCAUGUAAUAUAAUAAGGGAAAGAGAUACAUAGUUGGCUUACAAUCGCCACUUCACCCAAUUACAUGAAUAAAGCAUUACAUCAAUCAGAUGCAAUCAAGGCCCGACUACGGAGCCAAAAUAAAAGAAGAACCCCAAAUGCGACAAAAGGUCCCCGAUCGACCCCAACUGGGCUCCACUACUGAUCAACUGGAAACGGAACAACACAAAGGACAAGAUCUUCAGUGAGCUCCUCCUGAGCUUGGUUGCGUCAUCUACACAGACUCAUCGACACCUGCAAGCUGGUUUUGGAAGUAUCUAUGAGCCAUGGGGACUCAGCAAUCUCGCACCCUCGCGAUCAAGACUAUUUAAGCUUAUGGGAAAGGUAAAGGUAUGAGGUGGAGCUGCAGCAAGCGACUAGCAUAUAUGGUGGCUAACAUACGCAAAUGAGAGCGAGGAGAGAGAGCAAAAGCACGGUCGAACAACUAUGAUCAAGAAGUGAUCCUAGAACAACCUACGUCAAGCAUUACUCCAACACCGUGUUCACUUCCCGGACUCCGCCGAGAAGAGACCAUCACGGUAACACACGCGGUUGAUGUAUUUUAAUUAAGGUCAACUUCAGGUUGUCUACAACCGGACAUUAACAAAUUCCCCUCUGCCCAUAACCACGGGCACGGCUUUCAAAAGUUCAAAUCCCUGCAGGGGUGUCCCAACUUAGCCCAUCACAAGCUCUCACGGUCAACGAAGGAAUAGACCUCCUCCCGAGACAUUCCGAUCAGACUCGGUAUCCCGGUUCUACAAGACAUCCUUGACAAUGGUAAAACAAGUCCAGCAAGACCACCCGAUGCGCCGACAUCCCGAUAGGAGCUGCACAUAUCUCGUUCUCAGGGCAACAUCGGAUAAGCAAUCCGUACAACUAAAACCAGCCCUCGAGUUUCCCCGAGGUGGCGCUGCAAGGGGCUCUAGUUUGGACCAACACUUAGACAAGCACUGGCCCGGGGGGGUUUAAAAUAAGAUGACCCUUGGGAUGCGCGACUCCCAAGGGAAAAAGGCUAGGUGGCGAAUGGUAAAACCAAGGUUGGGCCUUGCUGGAGGAGUUUUAUUCAAAGCGAACUGUCAAGGGGUUCCCAUUAUAACCCAACCGCGUGAGGAACGCAAAAUCCGGGAACAUAACACCGAUAUGACGGAAACUAGGGCGGCAAGAGUGGAACAAAACAUCAGGCAUACGGCCGAGCCUUCCACCCUUUACCAGGUAUAUAGAUGCAUUAAUUAAAUAAGAUAUAUAGUGAUAUCCCAACAAAUAAACAUGUUCCAACAGGGAACAACAUCUCCGUGUUCCACCAAGGAACAAACUUCAAUCUUCACCUGCAACUAACAACGUUAUAAGAGGGGCUGAGCAAGCGGUAACAUAGCCAAGCAACGGUUUGCUAGGACAAGGUGGGUUAGAGGCUUGGUUCAACAAUAUGGGUGGCAUGAUAAGCAAGUGGUAGGUAUCGCAGCAUAGGCAUAGCAAAAGAGCGAGCAUCUAGCAAGCAAAGAUAGAAGUGAUUUCGAGGGUAUGGUCAUCUUGCCUGAAAUCCGGCAAGGAAGAAGAACGAGUCCAUGAAGAAGAUAAACGGACGUAGACGAACGGAUCCUCACAACACGACGUUAACGAAACCAACCCCGAAGAAGCAACACCGGAAAGAAGCAAACAAUCAUGGUGAAGAAACAUCACAUAAUCAUGGCACGAUGCACAAUCAAAUAUGAUGCAUGUCCGGUUUAAUGAUAAAUGACAUGG